rnacentral:rRNA from 1 species
AGCAGCCGCGGUAAUUCCAGCUCCGAAUAGCGUAUAUUAAACGUUGUUGCAGUUAAAAAGCUCGUAGUUGAAUUUCGGGGUUAGUAGGUUGGUCGUGCCUAUGGUAUGCACUGGCUUUACUGAUUCCUCCUUCUUGAAGAACUGUAAUGUCAUUAAUUUGGUGUUGCAGGGAAACAGGACUGUUACUUUGAAAAAAUUAGAGUGUUUAAAGCAGGCUAACGCUUGAAUACAUUAGCAUGGAAUAA